GACGAAGGGGCUAGCGUUGUUCGGAAUUACUGGGCGUAAAGCGCGUGUAGGCGGUUGUUCAAGUCAGGUGUGAAGCCUUGAGCUCAACUCAAGAAAUGCACUUGAUACUGGAUGACUAGAGGACCGGAGAGGAUAGUGGAAUUCCCAGUGUAGUGGUGAAAUACGUAGAGAUUGGGAAGAACACCAGUGGCGAAGGCGGCUAUCUGGACGGUUUCUGACGCUAAGACGCGAAAGCGUGGGGAGCAAACAGG
rnacentral:rRNA from 1 species